rnacentral:rRNA from 1 species
GCCUACGGGGGGCAGCAGUAGGGAAUCUUCCACAAUGGGCGAAAGCCUGAUGGAGCAACGCCGCGUGGGUGAAGAAGGUCUUCGGAUCGUAAAACCCUGUUGUUAGAGAAGAGAGUGCGUGAGAGUAACUGUUCAUGUUUCGACGGUAUCUAACCAGAAAGCCACGGCUAACUACGUGCCAGCAGCCGUGGUAAUACGUAGGUGGCAAGCGUUAUCCGGAUUUAUUGGGCGUAAAGGGAACGCAGGCGGUCUUUUAAGUCUGAUGUGAAAGCCUUCGGCUUAACCGGAGUAGUGCAUUGGAAACU